rnacentral:piRNA from 1 species
UACUUUCAAAGGACUUAUGGGCCACCC